GGUUAGAGUUACAGGUUGGCAUCUGGCUGGUUAGAGUUACAGGUUGGCAUCUGGCUGGUUAGAGUUACAGGUUAGUGUCUUCCUGGUUAGAGUUACAGGUUGGCAUCUGGCUGGUUAGAGUUACAGGUUAGCAUCUGGCUGGUUAGCGCUACAGGUUAGCA